rnacentral:lncRNA from 1 species
GGUUUAUGAGUUCAAUUAUUUAUUCGUAUUUCUCAGAAAAAAGGAGAAAAAUAGAGUGAUGAAUUUGGUGAACAAAACUUAAAAUAUUAAUUCAUUUCUCUUUGCUGUAGAAAAUAGGAGAAUAAUUUGCUUUCAAUGGUCAACAAAAUAGUUUUUGGCAAGAAAUCUCCAAUGGUCAACAAAAUUGGCUCCAAUAACAAUAAUAAAUUGCCUUUUUAAACUAUUAUAAUAAUAGAUCAAUUGACAAAAAUU